AAUUCUCACCUAAUUAAGAAGUAUUAUACUAGAAAUUGUUGAUUACAGGAUUACAUGUUUCAUCUUAUGAGCGAUGGCACUGUUCAUCCUACCAAAUAAAUAUGUCUUUUCAUUUGUAGGUAAUUUGGGCGUGUGUCAUAAUCUCUGAUAUAUGAGGAAAGAGAAGGUAGUUUCUUUCAUGGCCUUACGAUAUUAUGUUGCCUGCAUUGAUAAUGAUUAACAGUACAAUUCUAGUCUUGGAUGAGAUUUGAUUAAUAGGAUUCCUGAUUAUUGAUGCUUUUAGAUGUUAUAUCUAACUGUGAAGAGUGUGCUGUCUUUUUUUAUUGUUGUUUUUACUUCUGGUAUUACUUCUAGGAACAAAAUUCACUUUACUCCCCCUACCAUUUCAGUGGAUUUAACCUCCCCCAAAACUGUUUUUUUGGCUCAGCUUACUUUAUCCCCUGAAACUACUGAAACUGGCUCACUUCAUCCCCUAAUAUAAUUACUUAUUUUUUAAUUCUCUGUGUACAAAUUGUGUUAUAGGUUGAUUUUUUUGUGAGAUGACACAUGACAGUGCAAUCUUUGUUACAAUAUUGUACAUACUUUUACAUUUUGAUGGUUGAAUCAUUCGUAGGUGCUUCCAACCCAUCCAAAUGGUUGGAAGUUCUAAAAAUUUUUCGAGAACAUUAGGUUUCUUAUCUGUUAUCGCACAAAUUUCAAUUUAAAACAUGACUUGCAGAAAGAAAAACAAAAGGAUAAAUUUCAUGAGGAGGUGAAGUGGGCCAGUUUAAGUAGUUCAGCGGGGUUAAAUGCUCCAGCAGAAUACUUUAGGGGGAAGUGGACUUUUCAUUAAUUUAUAUGAUGUGCAGUUAUAAAGUAUGCUUGUGGUUGCAGCUAAUUAUUGCUAGCAUCUCUGGUGUUGUUACUUUACAGAGUACUUUUAGUAUUUGCUUCACUCGGCUCACGCUGUAAAUGUAAAUAUUUGGUUCGUUAGUUCACAGUGACAGUGUUUUACAAGUUGCACCGUCGAUGAAUCGUUGUGUUUGCAAACUGUGCCUUUUAUUUUCCCCUCUUGACGUGUUAUCCAUUAAACACUAUGUGCUACAUCUUUUGUCUUCCACUUAAAAUGGCACUUGGUGUGUUCUUGUUGUUAUUAUGCCCUUAUGCUGUAAAAAAGUAUUCCUGCUAUCAAUAUCAUUGCUCUACAAGGUUUUACCUGUGAGGGAAAUAUUUUUAGUUUAUGUUUGGUUUUUACAUGCUCAUGUUGAUCAAGGUAAUAAGAAAGUCAAAGAAUUGGCCAUUUACUUUUUUUUAUUUACUCCUAUUUCUUUCUAUGAAAAAAAGAGUUUUCCCAUC
rnacentral:lncRNA from 1 species